rnacentral:tmRNA from 1 species
GGGGAUGACAAGGUCUCGACGUGAAGACACGCACUUUUAUAAAUGGCAAGAACGCACCUAUGCGUUAAAUGGAAAACAUAACUGCAAACUCAAAAUUUGAGAAUGCGGUAGCAAGUCUUACAGCCGGCAUUCGUGCUGGUCUUAAAGCUGCAGAUGCUGAAAUGAUUGCUCUUAUGAGUGGUCGUCAGCUUUCUGGGCUAAAUGCGUAAGCAUUUGACGAGCUAUUUCCCUUAGAGCGACCUCCGAUAGCUCUUUGGGGUACAACUUUCGGGGUUGGAUAGGCAUGAGUUCUCAAUCUUGUGUCUGUCUGCAACAAUAAAAUUGGCUUUCAAGAUAAGGUCUGAAUAUCCUCCUGUCUUGGAUCGCGUCAAAGAUACUCUAUUUCUUGCAAAACAUUUUUAAAAGAGCCUUUACGGACCCGGGUUCGACUCCCGGCAUCUCCACAC